GACGAACGCUGGCGGCGUGCUUAACACAUGCAAGUCGAGCGAGGCCCCUUCUUCGGGAGGGUGUCCUAGUGGCGAACGGGUGAGUAACACGUGGGCAACCUGCCCCCGGCUCGGGGGUAACCCCAAGAAAUUGCGGCUAAUACCGGAUAUUCACCGCUGACCGCAUGGUCGGUGGUGGAAAGAUGUAUCCGCUGGCGAGGGGACCGCGGGCUGGCAGCUUGAUGGCGGGGUAGAGGACUACCACGGCGACGACGGGGAGCCGGCCUGAGAGGGUGACCGGCAAAACUGGGAAUGAGACACGGGCCAGACUCCUACGGGAGGCAGCAGUGGGGAAGAUUGCGCAAUGGGCGGAAGCCUGACGCAGCGAGGCCGCGUGGGGAAUGACGGCCUUCGGGUUGUAAGCCUCUUUAAGCAGGGACGAAGCGCAAGUGACGGUACCGGCAGAAGAAGCACCGGCCAACUACGUGCCAGCAGCCGCCGUAAUAC
rnacentral:rRNA from 1 species